rnacentral:lncRNA from 10 species
GCUCGAACCUGGGAGGCAGAGGUUGCAGUGAGCCGAGAUUGCACCACUGCACUCCAGCCUGGGCAACAGAGUGAAACUCCGUCUCAAAAAUAGAUACAUAGAUAGAUAAAUAAGUAUUUGAGUGUCUCCUAUAUGCAAGGUCCAGGGUUCCUUUCGUGCCUCAUCAGAUAGGUGCCAGAGCAUUGUGAAACAUUAGGCAGAGGGGCUAAUGAAAAAGAAAAACCGUCUAAAGUAAUUUUCAGAUUCCACAGCAGAUGCAUGUGGGCUGCAGAACCUUCCCUGCCUGUCUGCUCUCUUAAGAUGUUACAUAAAUCUCUGGUGUCCUCUCUUUCUCUCUGCCCUGCUCCAUCCUGUGAUCCUGCCCCUACUUUCGUUCACCUGUUCUCCCUUUGUCCUGUCACUCACCCCUUUCCACUUCCCCUGGCCUAUUCUUGAAGCUGGUUUGUCUCACCAGGUGAACCUCAUGGCACCUGAAUUGGGAUGUAGGUGGGACUGUUUUCCAAAGACCAAUGCUAAAGUGAGAAAUCUGAGAACGUAUGUGUUCCUAUACACAUUUUUAUAGCGCUGUCUCCUCAGCGCUCCUCAGUGAGCUUGACACUACACGCACAUAAACCACAGAAAUCACUCUCAGCCAGUUUCUGUCUGUGGUGAAGAUAAGACACUGGGAGGACCUCAUGAUGGGGGUACCUCUCUAACAACAUCUGAGGAUAAGACGCGACUGCUAGUAGCUGUAUUCUAUAACGGAAUAUUUUAUAACUUCACUAAAGGGAGAAAGAAGGGAACUAUUAGAGAUAAAAACUUGUCAACUGCUGCUUGCAAGUUUACUGGACAGAAACUGUUAUUCAAACACAGUUGUCUAAAAACAAAUAUCCUUGGCUUUUGUGGAGUAAAUGGAACACAGAGGUUUUGACCAGGGCAUUUCCACCUAUGGGGGAGAGGAUUAUUAAAAGCAUACAAGACCUUAAUUAAAGUGAUGUUUUUAAAGGGCACAAAAAUAAAGGGCCAGUACAAAUGGAAUCAGCUCUGUAAAUCUUACACAAAAAUACGUGUCUUUGAUUCUUAAUAAAGAAAUGCCAACUUCUGACAUCAA